rnacentral:rRNA from 1 species
AACGAACGCUGGCGGCAGGCCUAACACAUGCAAGUCGAGCGAGGACUUCGGUCCUAGCGGCGGACGGGUGAGUAACGCGUGGGAACGUGCCCUUUGCUUCGGAAUAGCCCUGGGAAACUGGGAGUAAUACCGGAUGAGCCCUUUGGGGGAAAGAUUUAUCGGGGAAGGAUCGGCCCUCGUUGGAUUAGGUAGUUGGUGGGGUAAUGGCCUACCAAGCCGACGAUUCAUAGGUGGUUUGAGAGGAUGAUCAGCCACACUGGGACUGAGACACGGCCCAGACUCCUACGGGAGGCAGCAGUGGGGAAUCUUAGACAAUGGGGGAAACCCUGAUCUAGCCAUGCCGCGUGAGCGAUGAAGGCCUUAGGGUUGUAAAGCUCUUUCAGCUGGGAAGAUAAUGACGGUACCAGCAGAAGAAGCCCCGGCUAACUCCGUG